rfam:Triticum aestivum genome assembly, contig: Triticum_aestivum_CS42_TGACv1_scaffold_146041_2BS
UUUGUACUCUCCCUCCGUCCCAAAAUUCUUGUCUUAAAUUUGUCUAAAUACGGAUGUAUCUAGUUACAUUUUAGUGUUAGAUACAUCCGUAUCUAAACAAAUGUAAGAGAAGAAUUUUCGGACGGAGGGAAUACUAC